AAGGUAUCUGUUAGCUCAGAUUUAAAAGGGAACACGGGUGUGAUUCCCGGACAGUCCCGCUGCUGUAUUUCUCAGCGUAUGAUUCCGGAUGAGCAGGCAAUCCCAUGCUCUGCAACACAAGCCACUGGUUCUGCAGGACCGGGAAGGUUUCGGGAUAUGAGAUGAGUCAGAAGACCUGCCUUGAAUUCAU
rnacentral:ncRNA from 1 species